rnacentral:lncRNA from 1 species
GAUGAGGGCUGUUGGUGUCACCCACACCUCCCCUUUUUCCUCCUCCCCACUCCCUGGUGACCUCCUCUCAUCUGGGCCAUGCAGUCUGUAGUGUCUCCUGUGACCAAGGCCAUCUUCGUGGCUUUGUUCCUCUUUGCCAUCCUGCUCAUCCUCUACGUGAUCCUCUGGUACAUCUGCAGAGACGUGGACAACGACUACAUCUGAGGUCCGCAGGCUGGAUGGCUGCUGUCUCCCGCACGAACAGGUUCCUGUUCUCUGUGUCCUAUCCAUCCACUGGAGGAGAGUAGCAUUCUGAUCCAGUCUAAAGCUAAGUCUUUGCUGAUAGAGUCCCUAAUCUUUGCUGCCCAAAUCACCAACCCCACCUCCAGAUCAGCUCUUCAGCCGUCAAGGGGCACAACACUUGGGGAGAAGGAGCCUGCUAUCCCCAUUACCACCAACGCCAACAGCUUCUGAUAAGCAGGUAAGCCCAAGAGUCUCAAGAAUGGUAGUGUCCCACAGAGCACCAGCCUUACUUUGAGCAUCGUCCCUGAAGCCAUCAUCCAAGGAAGUAGCCCUUUGUACUACCUUCUCAUCUCUGCCUCUUAGAAUUUCUUCUUUUCUUCAACACUCAGUUCAAGCACUACCUUCUAUAUCAAGCCUUUCCUGUUCCCCUUGACUUCUAAUGCCCUGUCAAAAUUGCCUUGUAUUUAUUGGCAUAUAUAUUCCAUAAGUACUUAUUAAUAUACAUACUGUUUUUUUAACAUUUUUUUGAGCUCCAAUUCUCUCCCUCCACCCCC